rnacentral:rRNA from 1 species
GUCGAGCGGUAGAAGUAGCUUGCUACUUUUGAGAGCGGCGGACGGGUGAGUAAUGCGUGGGAAUCUACCUGGUAGUGGGGGACAACAGUUGGAAACGACUGCUAAUACCGCAUACGCCCUACGGGGGAAAGCGGGGGAUCUUCGGACCUCGUGCUAUCAGAUGAGCCCGCGUGAGAUUAGCUUGUUGGUGGGGUAAUGGCCUACCAAGGCGACGAUCUCUAGCUGGUCUGAGAGGAUGAUCAGCCACACUGGGACUGAGGCACGGCCCAGACUCCUACGGGAGGCAGCAGUGGGGAAUAUUGGACAAUGGGCGCAAGCCUGAUCCAGCCAUGCCGCGUGUGUGAAGAAGGCCUUCGGGUUGUAAAGCACUUUCAGCGAGGAGGAAAGGUUAAGUGUUAAUAGCACUUAGCUGUGACGUUACUCGCAGAAGAAGCACCGGCUAACUCCGUGCCAGCAGCCGCGGUAAUACGGAGGGUGCAAGCGUUAAUCGGAAUUACUGGGCGUAAAGCGCGCGUAGGUUGUUUGUUAAGCGAGAUGUGAAAGCCCCGGGCUCAACCUGGGAACUGCAUUUCGAACUGGCAAGCUAGAGUACAGUAGAGGGUGGCGGAAUUUCCUGUGUAGCG